GGGCAAUUGGUCUAGUGGUAUGAUUUCCCCUUAGCAACUUCGAUUACUCGAAGACGAAUUUGGGGAAGGUCCUGGGUUCAAUUCCCAGAUUGUCCA
rnacentral:tRNA from 1 species